GGAGGUAUGGCUUAGGCGGUAAAGCACCUACCUACCAAGUGCAAGGCCCUGAGUUCAAACCCUAGUACUGCCC
rnacentral:tRNA from 1 species